CGAGGGGAAUUGAAACAUCUUAGUACCCUCAGGAAAAGAAAUCAAUAGAGAUUGCGUCAGUAGCGGCGAGCGAAAGCGCAAGAGGGCAAACCCAGUGCUUGCACUGGGGGUUGUAGGACUGCAAUGUGCAAGAGCUGAGUUUAGCAGAACAUUCUGGAAAGUAUAGCCAUAGAGGGUGAUAGUCCCGUAUGCGAAAAACAAAGCUUAGCUAGCAGUAUCCUGAGUAGGGCGGGACACGAGGAAUCCUGUCUGAAUCCGGGUCGACCACGAUCCAACCCUAAAUACUAAUACCAGAUCGAUAGUGCACAAGUACCGUGAGGGAAAGGUGAAAAGAACUGAGGUGAUCAGAGUGAAAUAGAACCUGAAACCAU
rnacentral:rRNA from 1 species